rnacentral:pre_miRNA from 1 species
AAUGUACUCCCUCCGUUCGGAAUUACUUGUCUUGAAAAUGAAUGUAUCUAGAACUAAAAUACAUCUAGAUACAUCCAUUUCUGCGACAAGUAAUUCCGAACGGAGGAAGUAGGAG